rnacentral:rRNA from 1 species
ACUUUCGACAACGGAUCUCUUGGCUCUCGCAUCGAUGAAGAACGCAGCGAAAUGCGAUAAGUAAUGUGAAUUGCAGAAUUCAGUGAAUCAUCGAAUCUUUGAACGCACCUUGCGCCCUUUGGUAUUCCGAGGGGCAUGCCUGUUUGAGUGUCAUUAAAUACC